rnacentral:rRNA from 1 species
CCUACGGGAGGCAGCAGUGAGGAAUAUUGGUCAAUGGACGAGAGUCUGAACCAGCCAAGUAGCGUGAAGGAUGACUGCCCUAUGGGUUGUAAACUUCUUUUAUAUGGGAAUAAAACGUUCCACGUGUGGGAUUUUGUAUGUACCAUAUGAAUAAGGAUCGGCUAACUCCGUGCCAGCAGCCGCGGUAAUACGGAGGAGCCGAGCGUUAUCCGGAUUUAUUGGGUUUAAAGGGAGCGUAGGUGGAUUGUUAAGUCAGUUGUGAAAGUUUGCGGCUCAACCGUAAAAUUGCAGUUGAAACUGGCAGUCUUGAGUACAGUAGAGGUGGGCGGAAUUCGUGGUGUAGCGGUGAAAUGCUUAGAUAUCACGAAGAACUCCGAUUGCGAAGGCAGUUCACUGGACUGCAACUGACACUGAGGCUCGAAAGUGUGGGUAUCAAACAGGAUUAGAUACCCCGGUAGUC